CGUCCCCUGCGGUGUUUGUCCAGGCCAAUAUUCUUCGAACCGACUUGUCACGAUUGGUUGCGGACUCAAGUAGCGUUGGUGUGCGCGUCCCAAGCGGAAGCGCCUGAUGCGCUCGGAAAGCGACCACCUUGAACCUGAGGGUUCAAGAUGAGGGCCAGACGGCACUCGCGGGGGGCCC
rnacentral:other from 2 species